rnacentral:lncRNA from 1 species
AUGCAUCAAUUUUACUGUUUUUUUUUUCCUUUUUAAUCUUUGGAUCGAAUCAUUGCUUAGUUCUUGCUUAAUUUCUCCAUUUUAUGGUGGGUCUUUGAUUGCAGGUUUAGCUCUGCGCGAGAACUGGGAAAUUUAAUUGUGACCUCCAAUCUAAUCGACUCUGCUUUGACUAAAAUUCUUGAGCUUCAAAGAGACCAAACAGCCUUGCCUUCCCCCGUUCAAUACAGAGUUUUUUAUCCAUCUCCCAAGUGCACAAUUGUAGCUUUUGUCUCUUCACCUGACUGCACUCAAAACCCUCUUCCUGGACAAGGAGAUUUAGUUCCCUCUCCUCUCUUUGACUUCCUCUGCACCGAAGAAUACCCUUCCGUCUCCAUUAACGGAGCCGCAUUAACCCUCUUUACCUCUCUCUACGAUCAUCUCUCUGGACUAAUAGAUGAGGUCAAAAUCUGAUACUUGUUUUAAUUUACGUUAACUUUUCGUUAACAAUUGUGAGACACGAAACAGCUUGACCAUGAGAUCUCCCUCAUGGAGUCAAAACCCGUGUUGGUAUCUGUUUUUAGAUCAACUUAUAUAUAUAUAUAUAUAUAUAUAUAUAUAUCUUGUGGAUAAAAGGAAAGUUUACAAGUGAGAAUAGUGGCAUUUUUCUGACAGAUUUCACACCGUUGCUUGUUUUGCAGUUGACUGUGAUUGAAGGUCGAUUAAUCAUCACUGGGCACUCGAUGGGAGGAUCCGUUGCUUCUCUCUUCACCUUAUGCCUGCUAGAAGUCAUUAAUAUAUCAAAACCCAAAUGCCGCCCCAUUUGCAUCACCUUUGGUUCACCCCUCAUAGGCGACUUUGGCCUCCAACACUCCAAUUGGAAUUCUUUCUUCUUGCAUGUAGUGUCCAACCAAGAUCUAGUCCCCGGACUCUUCCUCCCAUCCGGCAGAUCUCCUCCCACAUCCUCCCAUUCACAAACUACUGGUUACAAGCCCUUUGGGACAUAUCUCUUGUGCUCUGAACUUGGUUGUGCUUGUUUUGACAACCCUGAUUUAAUUUUGGAAUUGCUGAAAGUCAUAUCAUCAGAGGUUGCCGGAGGAUUGCGGGAUGUUGAUUACAGGAAGAUUUUAAUAAACCUCAAGGAGAGGGCAAUCUUCAAGGGACUUCAGCAGGUGGGUGAAAGGUUUGCAGAUCCCUUGUCAGCUGGGAUCGUCAUGGACCUUGAGAUAAUUGGAUUUGAUCAAACAAAGGUAAACAGCUUUCUCCCAAUUAAUGAUGUAGUAUGGUUUACACUCAACUUCACCAAAACCUGCAACAACUGCCCUAUUUAGAUUUGCCUUCCUGUUCUUUGGGUUCUUCUAUAACUUCUCAUUUUUUAAAUUCAUGGCAGCUGUUGCGGCACAACAUUGAUAUCAACACUGUGAUAAGGAUACUGGGAGUGGAAGCCAGAAUCCUAGCCCACAAAAAUAAAGCUUCUGAUGCCAAGAAACUGAAUGACAUAAAAAUACACAUGGCCCAGCUAGAAUGGUAUAAGAAGAAAUCAAAAGAUCUGAACAAGGGUUACUACGACUGCUUCAAAAACCAGGGGUCAAAAAGGGACAUUAAAAUUGAACAGUAUAGGGGACACCUCACAAUAUACUGGAAAGACAUGGUUGCACAAGUACAGAGGAAGCCCCAGAAGGAAGGAGCAUCAUUUCGAACCAGUUGGCUCUAUCCAGGGACAACUUAUAGAAGAAUGGUUGAACCACUGGACAUUGCUGCCUUCUACAGAGAGGGUAGAACAGACUACAUAAACAAUGGAAGAUCUCCUCAUUACAAGCUGUUGCAGCAAUGGUAUGAGGAAGAUGUGAAGCCCCCAUCCAGAGAUAAGCUCGAUUCCAAGAAACUAAAGGUGUCUGGUAUCCUAACUGAGGAUUCUUUGUUUUGGGCACAUGUGGAGGAGGCUCUCUUGUCAUGCGAAUCGCUCAAGAGUGCAAACUCUACUCUUGAGCAGAGAAAAUCAUCAUGGGAUAAUCUGGUUAAGUUUGGGGAGUAUGUAAUGGAACAGAUUGGAAACUAUGCAGUGUCCCCUGAGAUUUUCUUGGGGGAAAGCAGCUUCAUGAAAUGGUGGGGAGUGUAUGAGGACUACAUAGAUGCUUCCAAUAAUUCCUAUGGGUCACCAUUGAUCAGCUUUAUGAAGAACCGUAGUUAUAGACUGUAUGGUUAGAGGGCAAUCCAGUUUGUGUAUUGUGUUUAUUGUAUUGUGAGCAUUCAAUAGAUAAAACUAGAAAGAGCGUGACCUUUUUAUGACAACUUUAGAAACCAGGGGUUAAAAGAGACAUUACAAACUGAAGUUUUUGAGAGGAAACCUCAAGAGUAUACUGGGAAGCCAUGGUGGAACAAGUAGAGAGGAAGCCUCAGAAGGAAGGAGCAAUGGUUGAACCACUUGACAUUGUUGCCUACUACAGGGAGGGUGUAAGAAACAACAUAACCGAGGGAAGAUCUGAACGUUAAACGUUGUCCAAUUAUUAUAAAUGUCUUAUACAUUACGUGUGAAAAUACCAAAAAAAAUUAUAUUCAACAUUUAUGUUUGUAUACAAGCAAUAUUUUGGAUAGUUUGAUAUAAAAAACAAAUGAAGAAAAUGAAGAAAAACAUACAAAUAUAUUUACAAUGGACAAACUUAUACAAUUAGUAUAAAUGUCUUGUAUAUUUAGUACAAAUGUCUCGUACUUUGUAAAAAUAUAAAAAUAUAGUAUUUGACUUUUAUAUAUGUGUGAAAAUGUAAAAAGAAAAAGAAAAAUAGUUAGAGCAUUUGGUACCGUGAGUGAUGACUUCACCUAAAGAAAGGUUAAUGAAUAUUAUGGUCUCGAUGGAAGAGCGACUCCGGUAAAAUAUAUGGAUUAAAUUGAUGCUUUUCUUUUGACGAUGAAGUAGUUGAGUUAUGAAUACGAGGUUUUGCUAACAGCAUUGAAGGCAAGGAUUCCCUAAUAUACUCCAAUUCAUAUUCAAUUUGUAGACCUUCAACUAACUACUCUUGCUAACGAGCAUAUCCAAGUCAAUACAUAAGAUUAAUUAAGAUUAAGUAUUACGUAUGAUAAUUGAAACCCUAUUUAAAUAAAUAAUGACACAUAUAUAAAAAAUAUAUAUAUUUUUAAAAAAAUAAAUAACAAUUUAGAGAAUUUCAUAACUUAGCAUCAAACCUAUUGUAAGAAAGAGUAUUAUACAAUGUAGGGUUUAGGAUCCAAGUCAACCUAAGAUCAAAUUUAAGUUUUAAGAUCAAUUCACAUUCAAAACUAAGGUUUUAAGUUUCAAAAAUAUAUUUCUUAAACCAAUUAAAUGGAAAAAAGAAAAUUACAAAGAAAAUUUCUCCCUCAUCAGUUUCUUUUAUCUUGAAAACUAAAGGAAAUAUAUAUCAAUAUUUGAGAUGGAAAUUCAUAAUCUUAGGUGGUGUUUGUUUUUUUGGCUUUUUGCUGAAAACUAUUUAGUUUUAGAAUUUAGGUUUUUUUUUUUUUUUACUUUUUCAUGACUUAUAAUAAACUUUUUACUAAAUAGAAAAAACCAAAAUAUGUGGUUUUUUCUAAAUAGAAAAAAUAACACAAUGGUUUUUUUUACUUUUUAAUACUUAAUAGAAAUAAAAUACUACAAAAACAAACAUCUUAAUAUUUAAUACUAUUAAGUAUUAAGGUUCUAUUUAGAAUUAAGUAAAAAAACAAACACCACCUUAGAAACACAAAGAACAAAGAGAGUAUGAAGAGACCAUACCAUGAGAGAUUUUCCGAAAGGUUGGUAAACCAUGGUAAUCACCUUUGAGUCUUGCUGAGAAAAACAAACCUUAUUUAUUUUUAUUUUUUUAUCAUUUUUUCUCUUGUGUGGUGUACAUUUAAGAAAAACAAAUCUCAAAAAAAAAAAAAAACACAAACCAAAUAAUGCCAGAAUUUGGGUUGAGAAACACCCAAAAGAUAGUGGCCCAAUACAUGUGCCUAAGAAAAUCUUCAUGAGCCGAUAAACAUAGUCACAAAACUAGUAACAGCCUUGUAGCCAUAGUUGGUGUAGUAUGAGCAAGUGGGGUAUGAAGUAGGUAGGUGAGUAUUGCAAUGAAAUUUCCAGCACUGCUUCCUGAAUUAAGAAAUCACAUACCCAAGUCUUAGUCGUCGUCGUCGUCGUACCGUGUGAGAACCGGGAAGAAUCUUUGCUCGUAGACUGGCUUUUGUAGUCUUUCUUUAACAAUUACAAGUUAUCUGAAUUCCCUUCAUCCUCCUAUAUAAUAUUGUUUUGGUCUUGUUCUUGUUGCAUUGUGGCUAGGCAUCUCCAUGGAAGGAAGGAGGAUGAAUCAAGUUCCUUUGUAUGAAUCAAUUUCUCUGCUCUUUUUUUUUUUCAAUCCUUGAAUCGAAUCAUUGCUUAGUUCUUGCUUUAAUUUCUCCAUUUUCUGUUGGGUCUUUGAUUGCAGGUUUAGCUCUGCAAGAGAACUGGGAAAUUUAAUUGUGACCUCCAAUCUAAUCGACUCUGCUUUGACUAAAAUUCUUGAGCUUCAAAGAGACCAAACAGCCUUGCUUUCCCCCGUUCAAUACAGAGUUUUUUUAUCCAUCUCCCAACUGCACAAUUGUAGCUUUUGUCUCUUCACCUGACUGCACUCAAAACCCUCUUCCUGGACAAGGAGAUUUAGUUCCCUCUCCUCUCUUUGACUUCCUCUGCACCGAAGAAUACAAGUCCGUCUCCAUUAACAGAGCUGCAUUAACCCUCUUUACCUCUCUCCACGAUCAUCUCUCUGGACUAAAAACUCAGGUCAAAAUAUGAUAGUUGUUUUUAUUUUCGUUUCCUUUUUGUUAACAAUUGUGAGACAUGAAACAGCUUGACCAUGAGAUCUCUCUCAUAGAGUCAAACUACCUGAAGAAGAAGAAGACGUUACACAUAUCCAUCUGCGUUGCAUCAUCGCAUUACCCAUUGAUCGGUUGUGAUUCAACUCUUAAUAGGAAGACAGUAGAACUGGUGUUGGUAUCUGUUUUUAGAUCAGCUUAUAUGUAUCUUGUUGCUAAAAAGGGAAUGUUUAGAAGUGAGAUUAAUGGGAUUAUUCUGACAUGGAUUUCAUAUGGUUACCUGUUUUGCAGUUGACUGUGAUUGAAGGUCAAUUAAUCAUCACUGGGCACUCCCUGGGAGGAGCCGUUGCUUCUCUCUUCACCUUAUGCCUGCUAGAUGAAAAUUUAUUAAAACCCAAAUGCCGCCCCUUUUGUAUCACCUUUGGUUCACCCCUCGUCGGCGGCUUUGGCCUCCAACACUCCAUAUGGAAUUCUUUCUUCCUGCAUGUAGUGUCUAACCAAGACCCAGUCCCCGGUCUCUUCCUCCCAUCUGGCAGAGGCAGAUCUACGCCCACAUCCUCCCAUUCACAAACUACCGGUUACAAGCCCUUUGGGACAUAUCUCUUGUGCUCUGAACUUGGUUGUGCUUGUUUUGACAACCCUGAUUUAAUUUUGGAAUUGCUGAAAGUCAUAUCAUCAGAGGUUGCCGGAGGAUUGCAGGAUGUUGAUUAUGGGGAGAUUUUAAGAAACCUCAAGGAGAGGGCAAUCUGCAAGGGACUUCCGCAGGUGGGUGAAAGGUUUGCAAAUCCAUUUUCAGCUGGGAUCAUCAUGGAACUUGAGACAAUUGGAUUUAAUCAAACAAAGGUAAACAGCUUUCUCCCAUCUAAUGAUGUUAUGGAACAUGGUUUACACCUCAUUAAAUACUGCAACAACUGCCCUAUUUAGAUUUACCUUCUUGUUCUUUGGGAUUUUCCAUAACUAGACUCAUUUUUUAAUUUCAUGGCAGCUGCUGCAGCAUAACAUUGAUAUCGAGACUGUGAUAAGCGCAAUGGAAGCGGAAGCAAGAAACCUAACCCAGAAAAAUAAAGCUUCCGAUGCCAAGAAACUGAAUGAAAUAAAAAUAGACAUGACCCGGCUAGAAUUGUAUAAGAAGAAUUCGAACAUGGGUUACUACGAUUGCUUCAAAAACCAGGGGUCUAAAAGGGACAUCCACGUUGAACAGUUUAGGGUAAACCUCACAGGGUACUGGGAAGGCAUGGUUGCACAAAUACAGAGGAAGCCUCAUAAGGAAGGAGCAACAUUUCGAACCCGUUGGCUCUAUGCAGGGACGGUUUAUAGAAGAAUGGUUGAACCACUGGACAUUGCUGCCUUCUACAGAGAGGGUAGAAAAGACUACAUGAAUAAAAGAUCUGCACAUUACAAGCUGUUGCAGGAAUGGUAUGAGGAAGAUGUGAAACCCCCCUCUAGAGAUAAGCUUGAUUCCAAGAAGCAAAAGGUGUCCAGUAUCCUAACUGAGGAUUCUUGCUUUUGGGCACAUGUGGAGGAGGCUAUCUUGUCAUGCGAAUUGCUCAAGAGUGAAAACUGUAAUCUUGAGGAGGGAAAAUCAUCAUGGGAUAAUCUGGUUAAGUUCGAGGAGUAUGUAAUGGAACAGAUUGACAACUAUGCAGUGUCCCCUGAGAUUUUCUUGGAGAAAAGCAGCUUCAUGAAAUGGAGGGGACUGUAUGAGGGCUACAUAGAUACUCGCAGUAAUUCCCAUAGCUCGCCAUUGAUCAGCUUUAUGAAGAAUCGUAGUUAUAGACAAUAUGGAUAGAGGGGUAAUCCAGUUUGUGUGUUGUGUGUAUUGUUUUGUGAGCAUUCAAUGGAUAGAACUAGAAAGAGUGUGACCUUUUCCUUUUUUUUUUCAGUUGCUGCCCAUAUUCUCAGCACUAUUUUCUUCCUUCUUUUCCUCAGUUUUUUUGUUAAGAAAUGAAUAUUAUGAUGUUGCCGGGAUGCACUUUCAUUUUUGUUCCAUUACAUUGUGUUUUAUUCAUAUCCUAAACAAAUAAAUGUAAACAAGAAAAUCAAAUGAGACUUCAAAGAGUCUGUUCCUUUUAAAGCAAGGGAAAAAAAGGACAUGUUUGUUUACUUCCACAGCUGGGUAGAUUCAACUCCACCAAAAUUGGCAACAACUUCCCAUUGAAAAAUUCCUUUUAAGCUUGAAUGACAUAAAACUAGAUAUGUUCCAGCUAGAAUGGUACAAGAAAGAAAUCAAAAGAUGAGCACAAUGGGUUAUUAUGACAGCUUUAGAAACCUGGGGUGUAAAAGAGACAUUAAAAUGGAACCGAGGGGAAGACAUUGUAGAACAAGUAAAGAGGAAGCCUCACCAGGAAGGGCAGCUUUGCAAACCCUCUGGCUCUGUACAGGAACGAAUUAUAGAAAGAUGGUUGAACCACUUGACAUUGCUGCCUACCACAGAGAGGGUGGAAGAAACUACAUAACCAAUGGAGGAUGUAAACAUUACACGCUAUUAGAGCAAUGAUGCAAUGAAGAGAAGGGGACUUUGUCUUCCAAUAAUUUAAGAAAAUAAAACCAAAUAAUGCCAGAAUUUGGGUUGAGAAACACCCAAAAGAUAGUGGCCCAAUAUGAAGUAGUCACAAAACUAGUAACAGCCUUGUGGCCAUAGUUGGUGUAGUAUGAGCAAGUGGGGUAUGAAGUAGGUAGGUGAGUAUUGCAAUGAAAUUUCCAGCACUGCUUCCUGAAUUAAGAAAUCACAUACUCAAGUCUUAAUCGUUGUCAUCAUACCGUGUGAGAACCGAGGAAGAAUCUUUGCUCUUAGACUGGAUUUUGUAGUCUUUCUUUAACAAUUACAAGUUAUCUGAAUUCCCUUCAUCCUCCUAUAUAAUAUUGUUUUUGGUCUUGUUCUUGUUGCAUUGUGGCUAGGCAUCUCCAUGGGAGGAAGGAGGAUGAAUCAAGUUCCUUUGUAUGAAUCAAUUUCUCUGCUCUUUUUUUUUUCAAUCCUUGAAUCGAAUCAUUGCUUAGUUCUUGCUUUAAUUUCUCCAUUUUCUGUUGGGUCUUUGAUUGCAGGUUUAGCUCUGCAAGAAAACUGGGAAAUUUAAUUGUGACCUCCAAUCUAAUCGACUCUGCUUUGACUAAAAUUCUUGAGCUUCAAAGAGACCAAACAGCCUUGCCUUCCCCCGUUCAAUACAGAGUUUUUUAUCCAUCUCCCAACUGCACAAUUGUAGCUUUUGUCUCUUCACCUGACUGCACUCAAAACCCUCUUCCUGGACAAGGAGAUUUAGUUCCCUCUCCUCUCUUUGACUUCCUCUGCACCGAAGAAUACAAGUCCGUCUCCAUUAACAGAGCUGCAUUAACCCUCUUUACCUCUCUCCACGAUCAUCUCUCUGGACUAAAAACUCAGGUCAAAAUAUGAUAGUUGUUUUUAUUUUCGUUUCCUUUUUGUUAACAAUUGGGAGACAUGAAACAGCUUGACCAUGAGAUCUCUCUCAUAGAGUCAAACUACCUGAAGAAGAAGAAGACGUUACACAUAUCCAUCUGCGCUGCAUCAUCGCAUUACCCAUUGAUCGGUUGUGAUUCAACUCUUAAUAGGAAGACAGUAGAACUGGUGUUGGUAUCUGUUUUUAGAUCAGCUUAUAUGUAUCUUGUUGCUAAAAAGGGAAUGUUUAGAAGUGAGAUUAAUGGGAUUAUUCUGACAUGGAUUUCAUAUGGUUACCUGUUUUGCAGUUGACUGUGAUUGAAGGUCGAUUAAUCAUUACUGGGUACUCGAUGGGAGGAUCCGUUGCUUCUCUCUUCACCUUAUGCCUGUUAGAAGUCAUCAAUUUAUCAAAACCCAAAUGCCGCCCCAUUUGUAUCACCUUUGGUUCACCCCUCAUAGGCGACUUUGGCCUCCAACACUCCAAUUGGAAUUCUUUCUUCUUGCAUGUAGUGUCCAACCAAGAUCUAGUCCCCGGACUCUUCCUCCCAUCCGACAGAUCUCCUCCCACAUCCUCCCAUUCACAAACUACUGGUUACAAGCCCUUUGGGACAUAUCUCUUGUGCUCUGAACUUGGUUGUGCUUGUUUUGACAACUCUGAUUUAAUUUUGGAAUUGCUGAAAGUCAUAUCAUCAGAGGUUGCCAGAGGAUUGCGGGAUGUUGAUUACAGGAAGAUUUUAAGAAACCUCAAGGAGAGGGCAAUCUGCAAGGGACUUCCGCAGGUGGGUGAAAGGUUUGCAAAUCCAUUUUCAGCUGGGAUCAUCAUGGAACUUGAGACGAUUGGAUUUAAUGAAACAAAGGUAAACAGCUUUCUCCCAUCUACUGAUGUUAUGGAACAUGGUUUACACAUCAUUAAAUACUGCAACAACUGCCCUAUUUAGAUUUAGGGCAAUGAUGAAAAUAUCAGUAAUCACGGAUAUAUCAGUAUUUCGAUUUUACGGAUAUAUCGGAUAUAUCGGAGAUAUAUCGGUAGAUAUUUUGAAAAAAAAUAUCGGCAAGCUUAAAAUUGUUAAAAACUCAUGAAAAUAUAAGAAAAUCUCAUAAUAAUAUAAUUAAAAGUAUAAUAGACAUUUUAAAGUUAUUUUAUUGAAAAUUUUGAUAUAUGUAUAACAUGAUUUAUCAUAUUUGAUAAUAAUAUCGUAUGCGUCGAUAAAAAUAUGAAUUUUAUAAGUGUACAUUUAUUAUUAAAUUACACCUAAUAUUAUGAUAUCUGAUUAUAAUAUGUCUAAUUUUAAAAUAUAUAUUAGUAUUAAAAUAUGAUCCAUUUAAUUCAAUUGUAUUAAACAAUAUAAAAUAAAUAAUGAUAUAUAUAUAUAUAUAUAUAAUUUUUUAAUAUUUAAUUAAUUAUUAAUGAUAUUAAAAACAUUAUGAAGAAAAUUAUAUAAUUUUUUAAUUUUUGGUAAUUAAUUAAAAGACUUUGCAUUUAAUUAUAAAUUAAUUAUAAUUAAUUUACUCUUUAAAAUAUUCUUAUAUUUUCUUUAUAUAAUGAAUUUAAGUAUAUAUAUAGUUGUUGCAUAUUAUAUAUUAAAGGACAACUUAGCCCAAGUGGUAAGCGAGUGAACCCCAAUGUGAGGCAUUGUAGCACGUGCACUGUAGCAUCACUGUAGCGACUCUGACUUUCGUUGACCCGCAUUGACUACACGAUAUAUCGGAGAAAAAUCACUGAUUUAUCGCCAAAUCACCAAUAAAUCGCCGAUUUCUCGCGAUAAAUACCAAAAUAUAGUGUCGAAACCCUUCGAUACACGAUUUUUCGGCGCAUUUUCUUACUUGGAUUUACCUUUUUGUUCUUUGGGAUCUUCCAUGACUCAUUUUUUAAUGCCAUUUUAUUUUCCUUUUUGUUUCUAAAUUUUUAAAAAAUCGUUUUCACUUCUUUUUUUUAAGAAAAUUUUGGCAAAUUUUGAAAAUAUAAUAUUAGUGUUUUCACUUCUUUCUUUUUUUUUUUUUUCUUUUUUUUUUUAAACUCAAUUUUCUAAAAAAUGAAAAUAGAAAAACAUUGUCUAAACAUGUUUGUAAACUUAAUUUUAUUUUUUUAUAAAUGAAAAAAAAAAUCUAAAUGAGUAAGGCUUUAUUAAUUUUAAUUUUUUUCUUUUCCUUAUAUUUUCUUAUUUUAUUCCAAAUUUUCUUGCAACCAAACAUAAUCUAAAUGUUUACAACUUUUAUUGUAAGGAAUGAAUGACACUACUUUGUGAACUUUUAUGAUAAUAUUUUGAAUCAUAAAUUGUGUUUUUUUUAGUAAUAUCAAUUUUAUUACCAAUGACUUAAUUGUUAAUAACAAAAUAUAAUAUUUAUAAAUAUUUUUAUUCUCAACAGGCUACAAUUUUUACUCUUGUGAUAAAAAAAAUUUUGUCAUAAAUUACACAUUAUGAUGAGUUUUUCUAUUUUCCUUAUCAGCCAAUUCAACAAAUAUCAUAUAUAUUGUAAUGGCUAACAAAUUUUCACAUAAAUUUUUUAUAAGAUAAAGUAGAAUGGAAUUAUUCAAUUUCAAAAAAAAAAAAAAUGGUACCUAAUGAAAAAGAUAAAAUAUAUAGAUCAUCUCGAAGAAAUCAGGAAAGAUAAAUGAUGAGACCAUAUAUAGGACCCUUGAUGGAGACUAUUUUAAUUGAAGUGGUGUGCUCCUUCCGACUCAGAACAUGUUCAGCAUUGCACACAAACUAACAUCGUCGAUCUUGAGUAUGAAAAAGGUGAUUAGAUUCCAAGGUUGUCGUUUGUCCCAACUCCUCAUAUUAGAGGUGAUGCUCAAGCUAACGUGCCUCGCAGUUGAGCCCCGGCCAAUCGGUCUAAUAUGCUUUUCCAAUGGUGAGUUUCACUGCCACCAUGUAUUACAUUAAUUCCGAUAGCGCACAAGUUGUGUUUGUGCUAUUGCUUUUUGCCCUCACAAACAUAUACACAAGAGACAUUCAGACCAGAUCUGUUCUACCAUCCUCUAGGAAAGCAUUGUAGGUCAUUUGAAAUUGGGAUUUCAGCACCAGAGUCAAAUUGCCUUCCUUCCUGAAAGAUGAGCAUUUUUUAUACUCUUACAUCGGCUUUUAUGGAAAUGAAAUCAGCUUCUCAUUCUGUUACAUUUUUCAAUUUUGCUGCCUAUAACUGCUCACUGCCUGUUUGUGAGACAUUAUCCAGAUUUUCCCUGAUCAAUUAUAGAGAGGUCAUUGGACUCAUCCAUGAUUGGAAUUUCCUGUUAUCAUUAUUUGCAAAUCAUCAACCAUUUGUCAUGAUAUCUUAAGUUAAGCUGAGCACGAAUUUCAGCUAAGAUCCUCAGAACUAGAAAUAUGCACUGCAGGUAUUACUUGAUAUGUGAAUAUCCAAUACAAUAUUUUUUUACUAAGAGGAAUACGAAUUUGAAACACUUUCCAAUAAUUUAUCAAGUCAUAUUUUCGUGCUGUCGUGAUACAUGUGUCUACUGUAUGCAUGGCUUUUCUUUUCUACACAUGCCUUUAUCUUUGCACAUGACUCUUUUGAUACACGCCAGCAUCAAGGCAAUUGCCUAAAUCUAAAUCACAUCCUUUGUGUCACGUCUUCCUUGUUACCACGGUCCUCUUGUACACCAUGGUCCCUUAAUGUAACUUGUGCCACAAGCCCUUUGUGCAUGAAUUCAAAUUGUUCAAUCAUUUCGCCAUUUACACCUUUUAAGGUCCAAUAAGCGUAUACAAGAGACUACACUCAUUCUAGAUGAUAAAGUACAUUCAACUAACUACUCUUGCUAAUGAGCAUAUCCAAGUCAAUACAUAAGAUUAAUUAUUACAUAUGGUAAUUGAAACCCUGUUUAAAUAAAUAGUGACACAAAUAUAAAAAAUAUAUAUAUUUAAAAAUAAAUAAAUAACAAUUUAGAGAAUUUCAUAACUUAGUAUCAAACCUAUUGUAGGAAAGAGUAUUAUACAAUGUAGGGUUUAGGAUCAAAGUUAACCUAAGAUCAAUUUUAAGUUUUAAGACCAAUUCAAAUUCAAAACUAAGGUUUUAAGUUUCAAAAAUAUAUCUCUUAAACCAAUUAAAUAGAAAAAAGAAAAUUACAAAGAAAAUUUCUUCCUCAUCGGUUUCUUUUAUCUUGAAAACUAAAGGAAAUAUAUAUCAAUAUUUGAGAUGGAAAUUCAUAAUCUUAGAAACACAAAGAACAAAGAGAGUAUGAAGAGACCAUACCAUGAGAGAUUUUCCAAAAGGUUGGUAAACCAUGGUAAUCACCUUUGAGUUUUGCUGAGAAAAACAAACCUUAAUUUUUAUUUUUAUUUUUUUAUCAUUUUUUCUCUUGUGGUGUACAUUUAAGAAAAACAAAUCUUAAAAAAAAAAAAAAAAAAACCAAAUAAUGCCAGAAUUUGGGUUGAGAAACACCCAAAAGAUAGUGGCCCAAUACAUGUGCCUAAGAAAAUCUUCAUGAGCCGAUAAACAUAGUCACAAAACUAGUAACAGCCUUGUAGCCAUAGUUGGUGUAGUAUGAGCAAGUGGGGUAUGAAGUAGGUAGGUGAGUAUUGCAAUGAAAUUUCCAGCACUGCUUCCUGAAUUAAGAAAUCACAUACCCAAGUCUUAGUCGUCGUCGUCGUACCGUGUGAGAACCGGGAAGAAUCUUUGCUCGUAGAGUGGCUUUUGUAGUCUUUCUUUAACAAUUACAAGUUAUCUGAAUUCCCUUCAUCCUCCUAUAUAAUAUUGUUUUUGGUCUUGUUCUUGUUGCAUUGUGGCUAGGCAUCUCCAUGGAAGGAAGGAGGAUGAAUCAAGUUCCUUUGUAUGAAUCAAUUUCUCUGCUCUUUUUCUUUUCAAUCCGUGAAUCGAAUCAUUGCUUAGUUCUUGCUUUAAUUUCUCCAUUUUCUGUUGGGUCUUUGACUGCAGGUUUAGCUCUGCAAGAGAACUGGGAAAUUUAAUGGUGACCUCCAAUCUAAUCGACUCUGCUUUGACUAAAAUUCUUGAGCUUCAAAGAGACCAAACAGCCUUGCUUUCCUCCGUUCAAUACAGAGUUUUUUAUCCAUCUCCCAAGUGCACAAUUGUAGCUUUUGUCUCUUCACCUGACUGCACUCAAAACCCUCUUCCUGGACAAGGAGAUUUAGUUCCGUCUCCUCUCUUUGACUUCCUCUGCACCGAAGAAUACAAGUCCGUCUCCAUUAACAGAGCUGCAUUAACCCUCUUUACCUCUUUCCACGAUCAUCUCUCUGGACUAAAAACUCAGGUCAAAAUAUGAUAGUUGUUUUUAUUUUCGUUUCCUUUUUGUUAACAAUUGUGAGACAUGAAACAGCUUGACCAUGAGAUCUCUCUCAUAGAGUCAAACUACCUGAAGAAGAAGAAGACGUUACACAUAUCCAUCUGCGUUGCAUCAUCGCAUUACCCAUUGAUCGGUUGUGAUUCAACUCUUAAUAGGAAGACAGUAGAACUGGUGUUGGUAUCUGUUUUUAGAUCAGCUUAUAUGUAUCUUGUUUCUAAAAAAGGUAAGUUUAGAAGUGAGAUUAAUGGGAUUAUUCUGACAUGGAUUCCAUAUGGUUACCUGUUUUGCAGUUGACUCAGAUUGAAGGUCAAUUAAUCAUCACUGGGCACUCCCUGGGAGGAUCCGUUGCUUCUCUCUUCACCUUAUGCCUGCUAGAUGGAAAUUUAUUAAAACCCAACUGCCGCCCCUUUUGUAUCACCUUUGGUUCACCCCUCAUCGGCGGCUUUGGCCUCCAACACUCCAUAUGGAAUUCUUUCUUCCUGCAUGUAGUGUCUAACCAAGACCCAGUCCCCGGUCUCUUCCUCCCAUCUGGCAGAGGCAGAUCUACGCCCACAUCCUCCCAUUCACAAACUACCGGUUACAAGCCCUUUGGGACAUAUCUCUUGUGCUCUGAACUUGGUUGUGCUUGUUUGGAAAAGCCUGAUUUAAUUUUGGGAUUGCUGAAAGUCAGAUCAUCCGAGGUUGCCGGAGGAUUGCAGGAUGUUGAUUAUGGGGAGAUUUUAAGAAACCUCAAGGAGAGGGCAAUCUGCAAGGGACUUCAGCAGGUGGGUGAAAGGUUUGCAGAUCCUUUUACAGCUGGGAUCAUCAUGGACCUUGAGAUAAUUGGAUUUGAUCAAACAAAGGUAAACAGCUAGCUUUCUCCCAUCUAAUGAUGUUAUGAAACAUGGUUUACACUUCACCAAAUACUGCAACAACUGCCCUAUUUAGAUUUGCCGUCUUGUUCUUUGGGAUCUUCCAUAACUAGACUCAUUUUUUAAUUUCAUGGCAGCUGCUGCAGCAUAACAUUGAUAUCGAGACUGUGAUAAGCACAAUGGAAGAGGAAGCCAGAAACCCAACCAAAAAAAAUAAAGCUUUCGAUGCCAAGAUUCUGAAUCACAAAAAAAAAGACAUGGCCGGGCUAGAAUGGUAUAAGAAGAAAUCAAAAGAUCUGAACAAGGGUUACUACGACUGCUUCAAAAACCAGGGGUCAAAAAGGGACAUUAAAAUUGAACAGUAUGGGGGACACCUCACAUUAUACUGGAAAGACAUGGUUGCACAAGUACAGAGGAAGCCCCAGAAGGAAGGAGCAACAUUUCGAACCCGUUGGCUCUAUGCAGGGACGGUUUAUAGAAGAAUGGUUGAACCACUGGACAUUGCUGCCUUCUACGUAGAGGGUGGAACAGACUACAUGAAGAAUGAAAGAUCUCUUCAUUACAAGCUGUUGCAGCAAUGGUAUGAGGAAGAUGUGAAACCCCCCUCUAAGGAUAAGCUUGAUUCCAAGAAGCAAAAGGUGUCUGGUAUCCUAACUGAGGAUUCUUGCUUUUGGGCACAUGUGGAGGAGGCUAUCUUGUCAUGCGAAUUGCUUAAGAGUGAAAACUGUACUCUUGAGCAGGAAAAAUCAUCAUGGGAUAAUCUGGUUAAGUUCGAGGAGUAUGUAAUGGAACAGAUUAACAACUAUGCAGUGUCCCCUGAGAUUUUCUUGGGGGAAAGCAGCUUCAUGAAAUGGUGGGGACUGUAUGAGGGCUACAUAUAUGCUCGCAGUAAUUCCCAUAGGUCACCAUUGAUCAGCUUUAUGAAGAACGGUAGUUAUACAGAGUAUCGUUAGAGGGGUAAUCCAGUUUGUGUGUUGUGUGUAUUGUUUUGUGAGCAUUCAAUGGAUAGAACUAGAAAGAGUGUGACCUUUUUCCUUUUUUUCUUCUAGUUGCUGCCCAUAUUCUCAGCACUAUUUUCUUCCUUCUUUUCCUCAGUUUUUUCUUAAGAAAUGAAUAUUAUGAUGUUGCUGGGAUGCACUUUCAUUUUUGUUCCAUUACAUUGUGUUUUAUUCAUAUCCUAAACAAAUAAAUGUAAACAAGAAAAUCAAAUAAGACUUCAAAGAGUCUGUUCCUUUUAAAGCAAGGGAAAAAAAGGACAUGUUUGUUUACUUCCACAGCUGGGUAGAUUCAACUCCACCAAAAUUGGCAACAACUUCCCAUUGAAAAAUUCCUUCUAAGCUUGAAUGACAUAAAACUAGAUAUGUUCCAGCUAGAAUGGUACAAAAAAGAAAUCAAAAGAUGAGCACAAUGGGUUAUUAUGACAGCUUUAGAAACCAUCUUACAACACAUCCAUCAGAAUUUAGACUAUUCAUAGAAACAUUCUUAACAUGUAAAUCUACUAUUGCCAUGCACGUCAACAUAGAAUUUCUAAAAUGAUUGAAUAAAAUAAAUAAAACAAAAGAAACCCUUCCAAGAGAAUUUCAUAAUCUAAUGUCAAAUCUAUUACGAAGAUGAACAUGUAAAAUUUAAGGUUUAUAAUCAAAGUCGACUUGAAUCUGAGUUUUAAAACCAAUUUGCAGUUUUUAAGUUUGGAGACUAGAUCUCUUAAACCAAUUAAAUGUAAAAAACUAAAAAGAAAACUUCUUCAAAUUUUGAAAUGAGAAUGAGAAUGCAAUUCCUAACUAGUUUCUUCAUCAAAAAUCCCGAAAAAAAAAAAAAAAGAAGAGAGAGAGAGACCAUAGACGCCAGUGUUUGGGUUUAGAACCACCCAAGAGAGAGUAGUCCAAUAUAUGGGCUUAAGAAAAUCCUCAUGGGCCUAAGCUAAGACUAGGAACAAUCUUGUAUCCGUGGUUGGUUUAGUAUGAGCAUGUGUACUGCGAAGGAAGUAGCUGAGAAUUGCAAUGGAAUUUCCAGUACUGCUUCCUGAACGAACAAAUCGCAUACCCAAGAUUUGGUCGUCAACGCCAUGCUGGGUGAGAACCGGGGAAGCAUCUUCGCUCGUUGACGAGCUUUUGUAGUCCUUCUUUAACAAUUAUAAGGCAUCUGAAUUCCCUUCAUCCUCCCACACCAUUGUUUUUGGUCUUGUUCUUGUUGCUUUGUGACUACGCAUCUCCAUGGAAGGAAGGAGGAUGAACCAAGUUCCUUUGUAUGCAUCAAUUUUACUGUUUUUUUUUUCCUUUUUAAUCUUUGGAUCGAAUCAUUGCUUAGUUCUUGCUUAAUUUCUCCAUUUUAUGUUGGGUCUUUGAUUGCAGGUUUAGCUCUGCGCGAGAACUGGGAAAUUUAAUUGUGACCUCCAAUCUAAUCGACUCUGCUUUGACUAAAAUUCUUGAGCUUCAAAGAGACCAAACAGCCUUGCCUUCCCCCGUUCAAUACAGAGUUUUUUAUCCAUCUCCCAAGUGCACAAUUGUAGCUUUUGUCUCUUCACCUGACUGCACUCAAAACCCUCUUCCUGGACAAGGAGAUUUAGUUCCCUCUCCUCUCUUUGACUUCCUCUGCACCGAAGAAUACCCUUCCGUCUCCAUUAACGGAGCCGCAUUAACCCUCUUUACCUCUCUCUACGAUCAUCUCUCUGGACUAAUAGAUGAGGUCAAAAUCUGAUACUUGUUUUAAUUUACGUUAACUUUUCGUUAACAAUUGUGAGACACGUAUAUAUAUAUAUAUAUAUAUAUAUCUUGUGGAUAAAAGGAAAGUUUACAAGUGAGAAUAGUGGCAUUUUUCUGACAGAUUUCACACCGUUGCUUGUUUUGCACUUGACUGUGAUUGAAGGUCGAUUAAUCAUCACUGGGCACUCGAUGGGAGGAUCCGUUGCUUCUCUCUUCACCUUAUGCCUGCUAGAAGUCAUUAAUAUAUCAAAACCCAAAUGCCGCCCCAUUUGCAUCACAUUUGGUUCACCCCUCAUAGGCGACUUUGGCUUCCAACACUCCAAUUGGAAUUCUUUCUUCUUGCAUGUAGUGUCCAACCAAGAUCUAGUCCCCGGACUCUUCCUCCCAUCCGGCAGAUCUCCUCCCACAUCCUCCCAUUCACAAACUACUGGUUACAAGCCCUUUGGGACAUAUCUCUUGUGCUCUGAACUUGGUUGUGCUUGUUUUGACAACCCUGAUUUAAUUUUGGAAUUGCUGAAAGUCAUAUCAUCAGAGGUUGCCGGAGGAUUGCGGGAUGUUGAUUACAGGAAGAUUUUAAUAAACCUCAAGGAGAGGGCAAUCUUCAAGGGACUUCAGCAGGUGGGUGAAAGGUUUGCAGAUCCCUUGUCAGCUGGGAUCAUCAUGGACCUUGAGAUAAUUGGAUUUGAUCAAACAAAGGUAAACAGCUUUCUCCCAAUUAAUGAUGUAGCAUGGUUUACACUCAACUUCACCAAAACCUGCAACAACUGCCCUAUUUAGAUUUGCCUUCCGGUUCUUUGGGUUCUUCUAUAACUUCUCAUUUUUUAAAUCCAUGGCAGCUGUUGCGGCACAACAUUGAUAUCAACACUGUGAUAAGGAUACUGGGAGCGGAAGCCAGAAUCCUAGCCCACAAAAAUAAAGCUUCUGAUGCCAAGAAACUGAAUGACAUAAAAAUACACAUGGCCCAGCUAGAAUGGUAUAAGAAGAAAUCAAAAGAUCUGAACAAGGGUUACUACGACUGCUUCAAAAACCAGGGGUUAAAAAGGGACAUUAAAAUUGAACAGUAUAGGGGACACCUCACAAUAUACUGGAAAGACAUGGUUGCACAAGUACAGAGGAAGCCCCAGAAGGAAGGAGCAUCAUUUCGAACCAGUUGGCUCUAUCCAGGGACAACUUAUAGAAGAAUGGUUGAACCACUGGACAUUGCUGCCUUCUACAGAGAGGGUAGAACAGACUACAUAAACAAUGGAAGAUCUCCUCAUUACAAGCUGUUGCAGCAAUGGUAUGAGGAAGAUGUGAAGCCCCCAUCCAGAGAUAAGCUCGAUUCCAAGAAACUAAAGGUGUCUGGUAUCCUAACUGAGGAUUCUUUGUUUUGGGCACAUGUGGAGGAGGCUCUCUUGUCAUGCGAAUCGCUCAAGAGUGCAAACUCUACUCUUGAGCAGAGAAAAUCAUCAUGGGAUAAUCUGGUUAAGUUUGGGGAGUAUGUAAUGGAACAGAUUGGAAACUAUGCAGUGUCCCCUGAGAUUUUCUUGGGGGAAAGCAGCUUCAUGAAAUGGUGGGGAGUGUAUGAGGACUACAUAGAUGCUUCCAAUAAUUUCUAUGGGUCACCAUUGAUCAACUUUAUGAAGGACCGUAGUUAUAGACUGUAUGGUUAGAGGGCAAUCCAGUUUGUGUAUUGUGUUUAUUGUAUUGUGAGCAUUCAAUAGAUAAAACUAGAAAGAGCGUGACCUUUUUAUGACAACUUUAGAAACCAGGGGUUAAAAGAGACAUUACAAAUUGAAUUUUUUGAGAGGAAACCUCAAGAGUAUACUGGGAAGCCAUGGUGGAACAAGUAGAGAGGAAGCUUCGGAAGGAAGGAUCAAUGGUUGAACCACUUGACAUUGUUGCCUACUUCAGGGAGGGUGUAAGAAACAACAUAACCGAGGGAAGAUCUGAACAUUAAACAUUGUACAAUUAUUGUAAAUGUCUUAUACAUUACGUGUGAAAAUACCAAAAAAAAUUAUAUUCAACAUUUAUGUUUGUAUACAAGCAAUAUUUUGGAUAGUUUGAUAUAAAAAACAAAUGAAGAAAACGAAGAAAAACAUACAAAUAUAUUUACAAUGGACAAACUUAUACAAUUAGUGUAAAUGUCUUGUAUAUUUAGUACAAAAGUCUCGUACUUUGUAAAAAUAUAAAAAUAUAGUAUUUGACUUUUAUAUAUGUGUGAAAAUGUAAAAGGAAAAAGAAAAAUAGUUAGAGCAUUUGGUACCGUGAGUGAUGACUUCACCUAAAGAAAGGUUAAUGAAUAUUAUGGUCUCGAUGGAAGAGCGACUCCGGUAAAAUAUAUGGAUUAAAUUGAUGCUUUUCUUUUGACGAUGAAGUAGUUGAGUUAUGAAUACGAGGUUUUGCUAACAACAUUGAAGGCAAGGAUUCCCUAAUAUACUCCAAUUCAUAUUCAAUUUGUAGACCUUCAACUAACUACUCUUGCUAAUGAGCAUAUCCAAGUGAAUACAUAAGAUUAAUUAUUACAUAUGAUAAUUGAAACCCUGUUUAAAUAAAUAGUGACACAAAUAUAAAAAAUAUAUAUAUUUAAAAAUAAAUAAAUAAUAAUUUAGAGAAUUUCAUAACUUAGCAUCAAACCUAUUGUAGGAAAGAGUAUUAUACAAUGUAGGGUUUAGGAUCAAAGUUAACCUAAGAUCAAAUUUAAGUCUUAAGACCAAUUCACAUUCAAAACUAAGGUUUUAAAUUUCAAAAAUAUAUCUCUUAAACCAAUUAAAUGGAAAAAAGAAAAUUACAAAGAAAAUUUCUUCCUCAUCGGUUUCUUUUAUCUUGAAAACUAAAGGAAAUAUAUAUCAAUAUUUGAGAUGGAAAUUCAUAAUCUUAGAAACACAAAGAACAAAGAGAGUAUGAAGAGACCAUACCAUGAGAGAUUUUCCAAAAGGUUGGUAAACCAUGGUAAUCACCUUUGAGUUUUGCUGAGAAAAACAAACCUUAAUUUUUAUUUUUAUUUUUUUAUCAUUUUUUCUCUUGUGGUGUACAUUUAAGAAAAACAAAUCUUAAAAAAAAAAAAAAAAAAACCAAAUAAUGCCAGAAUUUGGGUUGAGAAACACCCAAAAGAUAGUGGCCCAAUACAUGUGCCUAAGAAAAUCUUCAUGAGCCGAUAAACAUAGUCACAAAACUAGGAACAGCCUUGUAGCCAUAGUUGGUGUAGUAUGAGCAAGUGGGGUAUGAAGUAGGUAGGUGAGUAUUGCAAUGAAAUUUCCAGCACUGCUUCCUGAAUUAAGAAAUCACAUACUCAAGUCUUAAUCGUUGUCAUCAUACCGUGUGAGAACCGAGGAAGAAUCUUUGCUCUUAGACUGGAUUUUGUAGUCUUUCUUUAACAAUUACAAGUUAUCUGAAUUCCCUUCAUCCUCCUAUAUAAUAUUGUUUUUGGUCUUGUUCUUGUUGCAUUGUGGCUAGGCAUCUCCAUGGGAGGAAGGAGGAUGAAUCAAGUUCCUUUGUAUGAAUCAAUUUCUCUGCUCUUUUUUUUUUCAAUCCUUGAAUCGAAUCAUUGCUUAGUUCUUGCUUUAAUUUCUCCAUUUUCUGUUGGGUCUUUGAUUGCAGGUUUAGCUCUGCAAGAAAACUGGGAAAUUUAAUUGUGACCUCCAAUCUAAUCGACUCUGCUUUGACUAAAAUUCUUGAGCUUCAAAGAGACCAAACAGCCUUGCCUUCCCCCGUUCAAUACAGAGUUUUUUAUCCAUCUCCCAAGUGCACAAUUGUAGCUUUUGUCUCUUCACCUGACUGCACUCAAAACCCUCUUCCUGGACAAGGAGAUUUAGUUCCCUCUCCUCUCUUUGACUUCCUCUGCACCGAAGAAUACAAGUCCGUCUCCAUUAACAGAGCUGCAUUAACCCUCUUUACCUCUCUCCACGAUCAUCUCUCUGGACUAAAAACUCAGGUCAAAAUAUGAUAGUUGUUUUUAUUUUCGUUUCCUUUUUGUUAACAAUUGUGAGACAUGAAACAGCUUGACCAUGAGAUCUCUCUCAUAGAGUCAAACUACCUGAAGAAGAAGAAGACGUUACACAUAUCCAUCUGCGCUGCAUCAUCGCAUUACCCAUUGAUCGGUUGUGAUUCAACUCUUAAUAGGAAGACAGUAGAACUGGUGUUGGUAUCUGUUUUUAGAUCAGCUUAUAUGUAUCUUGUUGCUAAAAAGGGAAAGUUUAGAAGUGAGAUUAAUGGGAUUAUUCUGACAUGGAUUUCAUAUGGUUACCUGUUUUGCAGUUGACUGUGAUUGAAGGU